rnacentral:rRNA from 1 species
GGGGCUAUCUGCAGUCGAGCGACUGAUUAGAAGCUUGCUUCUAUGACGUUAGCGGCGGACGGGUGAGUAACACGUGGGCAACCUGCCUGUAAGACUGGGAUAACUUCGGGAAACCGAAGCUAAUACCGGAUAGGAUCUUCUCCUUCAUGGGAGAUGAUUGAAAGAUGGUUUCGGCUAUCACUUACAGAUGGGCCCGCGGUGCAUUAGCUAGUUGGUGAGGUAACGGCUCACCAAGGCAACGAUGCAUAGCCGACCUGAGAGGGUGAUCGGCCACACUGGGACUGAGACACGGCCCAGACUCCUACGGGAGGCAGCAGUAGGGAAUCUUCCGCAAUGGACGAAAGUCUGACGGAGCAACGCCGCGUGAGUGAUGAAGGCUUUCGGGUCGUAAAACUCUGUUGUUAGGGAAGAACAAGUACGAGAGUAACUGCUCGUACCUUGACGGUACCUAACCAGAAAGCCACGGCUAACUACGUGCCAGCAGCCGCGGUAAUACGUAGGUGGCAAGCGUUAUCCGGAAUUAUUGGGCGUAAAGCGCGCGCAGGCGGUUUCUUAAGUCUGAUGUGAAAGCCCACGGCUCAACCGUGGAGGGUCAUUGGAAACUGGGGAACUUGAGUGCAGAAGAGAAAAGCGGAAUUCCACGUGUAGCGGUGAAAUGCGUAGAGAUGUGGAGGAACACCAGUGGCGAAGGCGGCUUUUUGGUCUGUAACUGACGCUGAGGCGCGAAAGCGUGGGGAGCAAACAGGAUUAGAUACCCUGGUAGUCCACGCCGUAAACGAUGAGUGCUAAGUGUUAGAGGGUUUCCGCCCUUUAGUGCUGCAGCUAACGCAUUAAGCACUCCGCCUGGGGAGUACGGUCGCAAGACUGAAACUCAAAGGAAUUGACGGGGGCCCGCACAAGCGGUGGAGCAUGUGGUUUAAUUUCGAAGCAACGCGAGAACCUUACCAGGUCUUGACAUCCUCUGACACUCUAGAGAUAGAGCGUUCCCCUUCGGGGGACAGAGUGACAGGUGGUGCAUGGUUGUCGC